ACAAGGGCGGUUAAUUGGUACCCCACCCUGAAGAGGGUUAUUGGCCCCACUUGGGGAAUUGAAACCCCGGCCCCAAAUCUCCUUGGGGGAGCCACCAGUAGGGAAUUUUCCCACAAUGGACGAAAAUUCUGAUGGAGCAACGCCGCGUGAGUGAUGAAGGGUUUCGGCUCGUAAAACUCUGUUGUUGGAGAAGAACAGGUGUCAGAGUAACUGUUGACAUCUUGACGGUAUCCAACCAGAAAGCCACGGCUAACUACGUGCCAGCAGCCGCGGUAAUACGUAGGUGGCAAGCGUUGUCCGGAUUUAUUGGGCGUAAAGCGAGCGCAGGCGGUUUUUUAGGUCUGAUGUGAAAGCCUUCGGCUUAACCGGAGAAGUGCAUCGGAAACCGGGAGACUUGAGUGCAGAAGAGGACAGUGGAACUCCAUGUGUAGCGGUGAAAUGCGUAGAUAUAUGGAAGAACACCAGUGGCGAAGGCGGCUGUCUGGUCUGUAACUGACGCUGAGGCUCGAAAGCAUGGGUAGCGAACAGGAUUAGAUACCCUGGUAGUCCAUGCCGUAAACGAUGAGUGCUAAGUGUUGGAGGGUUUCCGCCCUUCAGUGCUGCAGCUAACGCAUUAAGCACUCCGCCUGGGGAGUACGACCGCAAGGUUGAAACUCAAAGGAAUUGACGGGGGCCCGCACAAGCGGUGGAGCAUGUGGUUUAAUUCGAUGCUACGCGAAGAACCUUACCAGGUCUUGACAUCUUCUGCCAACUUAAGAGAUUAGGCGUUCCCUUCGGGGACAGAAUGACAGGUGGUGCAUGGUUGUCGUCAGCUCGUGUCGUGAGAUGUUGGGUUAAGUCCCGCAACGAGCGCAACCCUUAUUGUUAGUUGCCAGCAUUCAGUUGGGCACUCUAGCAAGACUGCCGGUGACAAACCGGAGGAAGGUGGGGAUGACGUCAAAUCAUCAUGCCCCUUAUGACCUGGGCUACACACGUGCUACAAUGGACGGUACAACGAGUCGCGAAACCGCGAGGUCAAGCUAAUCUCUUAAAGCCGUUCUCAGUUCGGAUUGUAGGCUGCAACUCGCCUACAUGAAGUUGGAAUCGCUAGUAAUCGUGGAUCAGCAUGCCACGGUGAAUACGUUCCCGGGCCUUGUACACACCGCCCGUCACACCAUGAGAGUUUGUAACACCCAAAGCCGGUGAGGUAACCUUCGGGGACCAGCCGUCUAAGGUGACCAGAAUUUGGG
rnacentral:rRNA from 2 species